rnacentral:rRNA from 1 species
UACGGGGGGGGCAAGCGUUGUUCGGAAUUACUGGGCGUAAAGGGCUCGUAGGCGGCCAACUAAGUCAGACGUGAAAUCCCCUCGGCUUAACCGGGGAACUGCGUCUGAUACUGGAUGGCUUGAGUUUGGGAGAGGGAUGCGGAAUUCCAGGUGUAGCGGUGAAAUGCGUAGAUAUCUGGAGGAACACCGGUGGCGAAGGCGGCAUCCUGGACCAACACUGACGCUGAGUGAGCGAAAGCCAGGGGAGCCAAACGGGG